GAAUUUUGGGCAAUGGGCGAAAGCCUGACCCAGCAACGCCGCGUGAAGGAUGAAAUCCUUCGGGAUGUAAACUUCGCAAGAACGGGAAGAAUAAGUAAGAGUUAAUAUCUCUUACGAUGACGGUACUGUUUGUAAGCUCCGGCUAACUCCGUGCCAGCAGCCGCGGUAAUACGGGGGGGGCAAGCGUUGUUCGGAAUUACUGGGCGUAAAGGGUGCGUAGGUGGCCAACUAAGUCAGACGUGAAAUCCCUCGGCUCAACCGGGGAACUGCGUCUGAUACUGGUUGGCUUGAGUGCAGGAGAGGAACGCGGAAUUCCAGGUGUAGCGGUGAAAUGCGUAGAUAUCUGGAGGAACACCGGUGGCGAAGGCGGCGUUCUGGACUGCAACUGACACUGAGGAACGAAAGCCAGGGGAGCAAACGGG
rnacentral:rRNA from 1 species